rnacentral:rRNA from 1 species
UGGGGAAUAUUGGGGCAAUGGGCGAAAGCCUGACCCAGCAACGCCGCGUGAGGGAAGAAGGUUUUCGGAUUGUAAACCUCUGUCCUCAGGGACGAAGGAAGUGACGGUACCUGAGGAGGAAGCCCCGGCUAACUACGUGCCAGCAGCCGCGGUAAUACGUAGGGGGCGAGCGUUGUCCGGAAUGACUGGGCGUAAAGGGCGUGUAGGCGGCUUUUUAAGUCUGGAGUGAAAGUCCUGCUUUCAAGGUGGGAAUUGCUUUGGAGACUGGAGAGCUUGAGUGCGGAAGAGGUAAGUGGAAUUCCCAGUGUAGCGGUGAAAUGCGUAGAGAUUGGGAGGAACACCAGUGGCGAAGGCGACUUACUGGGCCGUAACUGACGCUGAGGCG